rnacentral:snoRNA from 1 species
AUGGAUGAAGAUAUGCACUGGGCUCCGAGCAGUGAAAAUCGCUGCGAUCUGACGGAAACGCAUUUGCCUAGAAAGCAUUGUCUGACAA